AGUUUGAUUAUGGCUCAGGUCGAACGCUGGCGGGAUGCUUUACAUGCAAGUCGAACGGCAGCACGGACUUCGGUCUGGUGGCGAGUGGCGAACGGUGAGUAAUGUAUCGGGGCAUGCCUAGUAGCGAGGACGCUACGCGGCGUAGCUAAUACCGCAUACGCCCUUCGGGGAAAGCAGGGGACCUUCCGGAGCCUCGCACUAUUAGAGCGGCCGAUAUCGGAUUAGCUAGUUGGUGGGGUAACGGCUCACCAAGGCGACGAUCCGUAGCUGGUUUGAGAAGGACGACCAGCCACACUGGGAUUGAGACACGGCCAGACUCCUACGGGGAGGCAACGGUGAAGUUACACGGACAAUGGGAAACCCACAGUCCAGCCAUCCCGCGUGUGCGAUGAAGGCCUUCAGGUUGUAAAGCACUUUUGGCAGGAAAGAAACGGCACGGAUAAUACCCCGUGCAACCGGGCGUACCUGCAGAAUAAGCACCGGCUAACUACGUGCCAGCAGCCGCGGUAAUACGGUGCAAGCGUUAAUCAGGUUACUGGGCGUAAAGCGUGCGCAGGCGGUUCGGAAAGAAGAUGUUGAAAUCCCAGAGCUUAACUUUGGAACUGCAUUUUUAACUACCGAGCUAGGAGAGUGUCAGAGGAGGUGGAAUUCCAUGUGGUGAAAUGCGUAGAUAUGCGGAGGAGUACCGAUGUAAGCGAAGGCGACCUCCUGGGAUAACACUGACGCUCAUGCACGAAAGCGUGGAGCAAGAAACGGGAUUAGAUACCCUGAGCGAAUACGCUAAACGAUGUCAACUAGCUAUUUGGGGCCUUCGGGCCUUGUAGUGGCGCAGCUAACGCGUGGUGACCACACCAGGAAAUACGGUCGCAAGAAUUAAAACUCAAAGGAAUUGACGGGGACACAAGCGGUGGAUGAUGAACACGUGGAUUAAUUCGAUGCAACGCGAAAAACCUUACCUACACUUGACAUGUCUGGAAUCCCGAAGAUUUGGAGUGCUCGCAAGAGAACCGGAACACGGAGUGCUGCAUGGCUGUCGUCAGCUCGUGUCGUGGGAUGUUGGGUUAAGUCCGCAACAGGCGCAGCCCUUGUCAUUAGUUACUACGAAAGGGCACUCUAAUGAGACUGCCGGUGACAAACCGGAGGAGGUGGGGAUGACGUCAAGUCCUCAUGGCCCUUAUGGGUGAGACUACACGUCAUACAAUGGUCGGGACAGAGGGUCGCCAACCCGCGAGGGAGCCGUCAGAAGCCGAUCGUAGAUCAGAUCACGCAGUCUGCAACUCGACUGCGUGAAGUCGGAAUCGCUAGUAAUCGCGGAUCAGCAUGUCGCGGUGAAUACGUUUGGGUCUUGUACACACCGCCCGUCACACCAUGGAAUUAAGGUUUUACCAGAAGUAGUUAGCCUAAUAAUAAGGAGGCGAUUUCAGUAAGUUCAUGAAGCUGGGGUGAAGUCAGCUAAGGUAA
rnacentral:rRNA from 1 species